UACGGGGGGGCAAGCGUUGUUCGGAAUUACUGGGCGUAAAGGGCUUGUAGGUGGCCAACUAAGUCAGACGUGAAAUCCCUCGGCUUAACCGGGGAACUGCGUCUGAUACUGGAUGGCUUGAGUGUGGGAGAGGGGGUGGAAUUCCACGUGUAGCAGUGAAAUGCGUAGAGAUGUGGAGGAACACCGAUGGCGAAGGCAGCCCCUGGGCUAACACUGACGCUCAUGCACGAAAGCGUGGGGAGCAAACAGG
rnacentral:rRNA from 1 species